rnacentral:rRNA from 1 species
UUCCGUAGGGGGACCUGCGGAGGGAUCAUUACACAAAUAUGAAGGCGGGCUGGAACCUCUCGGGGUUACAGCCUUGCUGAAUUAUUCACCCUUGUCUUUUGCGUACUUCUUGUUUCCUUGGUGGGUUCGCCCACCACUAGGACAAACAUAAACCUUUUGUAAUUGCAAUCAGCGUCAGUAACAAAUUAAUAAUUACAACUUUCAACAACGGAUCUCUUGGUUCUGGCAUCGAUGAAGAACGCAGCGAAAUGCGAUAAGUAGUGUGAAUUGCAGAAUUCAGUGAAUCAUCGAAUCUUUGAACGCACAUUGCGCCCUUUGGUAUUCCAAAGGGCAUGCCUGUUCGAGCGUCAUUUGUACCCUCAAGCUUUGCUUGGUGUUGGGCGUCUUGUCUCUAGCUUUGCUGGAGACUCGCCUUAAAGUAAUUGGCAGCCGGCCUACUGGUUUCGGAGCGCAGCACAAGUCGCACUCUCUAUCAGCAAAGGUCUAGCAUCCAUUAAGCCUUUUUUUCAACUUUUGACCUCGGAUCAGGUAGGGAUACCCGCUGAACUUAAGCAUAACAUAGGCGGGAGGAA